rnacentral:rRNA from 1 species
UACGGGGGGGGCAAGCGUUGUUCGGAAUUACUGGGCGUAAAGGGCUCGUAGGCGGCCAACUAAGUCAGACGUGAAAUCCCUCAGCUUAACUGGGGAACUGCGUCUGAUACUGGAUGGCUUGAGUUCGGGAGAGGGAUGCGGAAUUCCAGGUGUAGCGGUGAAAUGCGUAGAUAUCGGGAGGAACAUCAGUUGCGAAGGCGGCUCUCUGGACCAGUACUGACGCUGAGGCACGAAAGCGUGGGGAGCAAACAGG